rnacentral:rRNA from 1 species
GUCGAGAAUCUUCCGCAAUGGGCGAAAGCCUGACGGAGCAAUGCCGCGUGAGGGAUGAAGGCCUUCGGGUUGUAAACCUCUGUCGCCCGGGACGAAUCAAUGACGGUACCGGGAGAGGAAGCUACGGCUAACUACGUGCCAGCAGCCGCGGUAAUACGUAGGUAGCGAGCGUUAUUCGGAUUUACUGGGCGUAAAGGGUCCGCAGGAGGCCUGCCAAGUCUGAUGUGAAAGCCCACGGCUCAACUGUGGAACUGCAUCGGAAACUGGCGGGCUCGAGUGCACGAGGGGAAAGCGGAAUUCCAGGUGUAGCGGUGGAAUGCGUAGAUAUCUGGAGGAACACCGAUGGCGAAGGCGGCUUUCUGGCGUGCAACUGACUCUCAUGGACGAAAGUGUGGGUAGCAAACAGGAUUAGAUACCCUGGUAGUCC